ensembl:snoRNA small nucleolar RNA SNORA16B/SNORA16A family
ACAGGCUCCUAUCGAAGCCGCUCAUGCUCUAUUGUAGCAGUGGGCGGUCAAAAGGAUGCCAAGAUGAACACUUUCACCGACGGUCGCUGUUCAGUUCUAAAAUAACUGUUUUCAGCAACAUUUAGGGGAAGGACACUU